rnacentral:lncRNA from 1 species
UGUCUUGCAAAUAGUGUGGAAAACCAUAUACCAAAUUUGAUUAUUGUCAUAACCUUUACUAUUGUGAACAAUUCAUAUAUAUUGUUUUAAGUCUUGUGAGGCAUUUGUGGUGAUAUACAACUUUAAGAAUCUUGAAGGAAGGAUCAAGGAAUUCACAAGAACAUAAAAGGAGGUUCAUCAAAUUCGACAUAUGGAUUCAGGUUAGCUUCCGCUCAUGUAAUUUAAAUCCAAAUUAUUCGACAUGAAGGUUAUUGUCUUUAGUAGGAAUCAUAAUCCUAACAAAAUACACUUUUAUAGGUGUGUUUAGAGCCUUAAAAUGAAGAAAUAUCAAUUACUAUUUGCCAUGCAUGACGUUGUUUCGUAUAGUAUGUAUAUAAAUGUCAAUAAUUGCCUCAUUAUAAUCAUUUGAGAUUAUAGCACACUCCAUAUACGUGCAUCAAAUUGACAAAAUAAUUUUAUUAAUUCAAUAAUACGUAUACCUAGGAGGCUUCGGUUAUCUUAUUAUAUGUUGUUGUUACUGUUUUUUAUUAUUGUGUCUUUUCCAUUACUAUAUUUCUUUCAACAAUGUUGUGAUUAUGCUUUUACUAAGCCGAGCAUUUACCGGAAACAACCUAUCUAACUUCAUAGGGUAGAAUAACGUUUUCGUGCACAUUACCCUUCCCAAACUCCACUUAUAAAAUUAUAUUUAUCUUUUUUGUUGUUGUUGUUGUAACUUAAGAUAAACUUAUAAUUGCUUUUAAAACUUACAUUGAACAGUGUAUUUAGCCCUAUUAAUUCUUCUUUUGCGCUUUUUAUUUGAAUUACUUUCAUUUGUCAAUAAUUAAAAGAAAACAAAUAGUUUAAAAUGCACAUGACGACUAGCUAGUUUUCCCGUAGAGUGAAAAAUUGUAACGACCCGACCAAUCGUUUUGCUUUCUAGAACUCUGUUCCCCUAAAUGAGAUUUUUCGUACUUGCUUUUACUGAUUCAUGACAUGCGAAGAUGGUUAGUUCGGGAUUUGGAAGAGUUUGGGUUGAAAUCGGAACACUUAGUUCCUUAAGGUUAGCUUAAAAGGCGAAGUUUGAAUCCGGUCAAUAUUUUGAGUAAACAACCUCAGAAUCAGAAUUUAACGGUUCCAACAGGUUCAUAUGAUAUUUUGGACUUGGACGUAUGCUCGGAUCGGGUUUUAGAUGACCCGAGAGUAUUUUGGCGCCUAAAAGCAAAAGUUGGUUCUUGAAGAUUUUAAAAGUUCUUUAAAUUUGGUUUGGAGCGAAUUUUGGUGGUAUCGAGGUCCAAACGGAAUUCCCAGACCGAUAAUAGUUCCGUAAUGUCAUUUAAGAAUUACACGCAAAAUUUGGUAUUAUUCCGAGCAGACUAAGUAUAAUUUGGCACGUUCGGAAUGAUUAGGAAACUUGAAAUUCAAAGUUUGAUUCAAUUUGGUUUUAGGGCAUCAUUCUUGGUUUCUUUGUUGUUUUAUGAGUUUCGAGAGUUUGAGGGGGUCCGAAUUCUGAUUACAAACUUGCCGGUAUGGUUGGACGGUCUCUCGAGGGGCUCGGGUGCGUUUCGGACCACCCGAAGCUAAGUUGGAAAAUAACAGAUUUCUGCUUCUGGUUUCCUUCUUCGCGAACGCGGAUCGACUCUCGCGUUCGCAAUGAAGGACUUGGGGGACUAGCGUAUUUGCCCUUAGCGUUUGCAUUAUAAAGGUCGUGUUCGCGGAAGCUUGGACACUUUGGCCUUCGCGUUGCGAAGGUCAUGUUCACAUAGAAGCCUGGUCUUGGUCCUGGGCCAUCCGGUUAUCAUACGCGUUCGCGUUCUGGGGCUCGCAUUCGUGAAGAGUAGGCGACCUAGUGCUUCUCGUUCGUGUGGGACUUCUCGGGUGUCUGGGAUCCUCUAGUUUAGCAAUCGCGACCGCGAGGGCUUGGUCAUGAUUGUAUAUAAGGACCCCUAGGCAGAAUCAUCUUUUAAAAACGGGACUAAGGCAUUUAUGGGGUCAUUUAUUUCACUCUUGGGUGAUUUGAGAGCUCUUAAGAAGGGGAUUUCGACAUAGCCUUGUAAGGUAAGUAAUUUCUACCUAAUGUCAGUUUAAUACAUAGCUUAUGAGUAGAUUAUAACAUAAAUAUUAACGAAAAUUAUGGGUUUAGACUAAAACAUAGGUUUUUGAUAAAAAAAAAAGAUUUUACCAUGAAUAUGGGUAUGGAACUUAGUGAAAAUCAUAUAUUUAUGUUCCUAAGGUUAUAAGUAACAACUUUCUUUAAAAAUUUUUGGAAUCGGGGCAUGUGGGUCCAGAGGUAAAUUUUAGAAAUCUUGUAAUUUGGGUUAGGUAAUUGCUUUAAUAGUGGAAAUAUGAACUUUUGAGCAUAGAUUGAUCGAUUUAUGUAAUGUUUGACUAGUUCCUGGUUGUUUGGCAUCAACUUUGGAUUUGAACGCACUCUUGAAUUGGAAAGUAGGCUUUAAGACGAGGUAAGUCUUUUUUCUAACCUUGUAAGAGAAAAUUUAUCUCAUAGGUGAACUUAAUUAAUAUGUGUGGUUAUUUGUGGGGGCUACGUACACAUAAAGUGACGAGAGUCCGUAUGUAGCUAUUAUUCAUGUUUAUGUCGGAGUAGUUUUAGAUUAUACUUUUUUGACACCGUUAUUUGAUUAUAUUUGUUGAUUAUAUCAAAUGGAACUAAGUUGAAGAUUUUUAAGGAUUUAAAAGCUUCAAGUUGAAUUGUCUGUGUUUUGAAAAGAAUCAAGAAAAAAGUUAUGAACUAUUGAUAAAUUUAAAUUUGACAGCGUCGCAUGUAUGAUCCGCAAGCGGGGUAUUUCCUUUUACUAUUCUCAUGGUUCGAUCUGUUCGACCAUUGACAGUGCACAGUGUAUAUUUAUAUUGGAUCGGGUCGAACCUCCUUGGUGGUAUUAGUGUGUGAUAAUAGAACUGGAAGUUUCUUUUAUAAUUGGUAUAAAUUCAAUGUUUGCGUGAUCAUAUGUUUUAAAGGAAGGAUGUGAUUUAAGCCCUUAAAUAUGGUAAAAGACUUGUUCAGUUAUUUCUCGUUCUGAAUCUUAUUGUUGUAUAUCAUGCUUAAUUAGAACAUUGGCUCUAAUAAGUAUCAUAGCCGACCUCUCGUCACUACUUCUUCGAGGUUUGACUAGAUACUUACUGGGUACAUAUUAUAUAUGUACUCACGCUAUACUUAUGUACUUAAUUGUAUAGGAUCUGAGGCAGGUGCAUCUGUUACCAGUCUGGUGCGCAGAUUUGAUCCCCAUCUCGAGACUUCACGGUGAGCUGCCUUCUGAGCCAUUCUGCAGUAGUUGGAGUUUCACUUAUGCUUUAUUUUUCUGUCCAUUUCCUUUCAAACAGUAGGCUAGCAUUCUUUUGUAUAUUCUACUAAAUUGCC